AGCGAACGCUGGCGGCAGGCCUAACACAUGCAAGUCGAACGGAUCCUUCGGGAUUAGUGGCGGACGGGUGAGUAACACGUGGGAACGUGCCCUUUGGUUCGGAACAACUCAGGGAAACUUGAGCUAAUACCGGAUGUGCCCUUCGGGGAAAGAUUUAUCGCCAUUGGAGCGGCCCGCGUCUGAUUAGCUAGUUGGUGAGGUAAUGGCUCACCAAGGCGACGAUCAGUAGCUGGUCCGGGAGGAUGAUCAGCCACACUGGAACUGAGACACGGUCCAGACUCCUACGGGAGGCAGCAGUGGGGAAUAUUGGACAAUGGGCGCAAGCCUGAUCCAGCAAUGCCGCGUGGGUGAUGAAGGCCUUCGGGUUGUAAAGCCCUUUUGCGGGGACGAUGAUGACGGUACCGCCGAAUAAGACUCCGGCUAACUUCGUGCCAGCAGCCGCGGUAAU
rnacentral:rRNA from 1 species